GGGGGGCUAGCUCAGCUGGUUAGAGUACAUGCUCGACAUGCAUGGUGUCGCCGGUUCGAAUCCGGCGCUCCCCA
rfam:Spirochaetaceae bacterium 4572_59 ex4572_59_scaffold_160, whole genome shotgun sequence.